rnacentral:pre_miRNA from 1 species
AACCCGUAGAUCCGAACUUGUGCUAGUUCGAUUCACAAGCUCGAUUCUAUGGGUCUA